rnacentral:rRNA from 1 species
AGUGAACGCUGGCGGUAGGCCUAACACAUGCAAGUCGAACGGCAGCACAGGAGAGCUUGCUCUCUGGGUGGCGAGUGGCGGACGGGUGAGGAAUACAUCGGAAUCUACUCUGUCGUGGGGGAUAACGUAGGGAAACUUACGCUAAUACCGCAUACGACCUACGGGUGAAAGCAGGGGACCUUCGGGCCUUGCGCGAUUGAAUGAGCCGAUGUCGGAUUAGCUAGUUGGCGGGGUAAAGGCCCACCAAGGCGACGAUCCGUAGCUGGUCUGAGAGGAUGAUCAGCCACACUUGAAAUGACACACGGUCCAGACUCCUACGGGAGGCAGCAGUGGGGAAUAUUGGACAAUGGGCGCAAGCCUGAUCCAGCCAUACCGCGUGGGUGAAGAAGGCCUUCGGGUUGUAAAGCCCUUUUGUUGGGAAAAAAAUCCAGCUGGCUAAUACCCGGUUGGGAUGACGGUACCCAAAGAAUAAGCACCGGCUAACUUCGUGCCAGCAGCCGCCGCAG